rnacentral:ncRNA from 1 species
CAAAGGUUUGGUCCUGGCCCUUCUAUUAGUUUUUAGUAAACUUAUACAUGCAAGUAUCCUCGCACCAGUGAGAAUGCCCUCUAAAUCGCCCUAUUGAUAAAAAGGAGCGGGUAUCAGGCACACUACAUAGUAGCCCACUACACCUUGCUCAACCACGCCCCCACGGGAAACAGCAGUAAUAAAAAUUAAGCUAUGAACGAAAGUUUGACUAAGUUAUACUAAGCCACCCAUAAGGGUUGGUAAAUCUCGUGCCAGCCACCGCGGUCAUACGAUUAACCCAAAUUAAUAGAUCUUCGGCGUAAAGCGUGUUAAAGAUAACAUAUAAAAUAAAGUUAAACCCUGGCUAAGCUGUAAAAAGCCCCAGCCUCUGUAAAAUAAACUACGAAGGUGACUUUUAAAACUCUGACACACGAUAGCUAAGACCCAAACUGGGAUUAGAUACCCCACUAUGCUUAGCCCUAAACCUCAAAAAUUCUACACAACAAAAUUAUUCGCCAGAGAACUACUAGCAAAAGCUUAAAACUCAAAGGACUUGGCGGUGCUUCAUACCCCUCUAGAGGAGCCUGUUCUGUAAUCGAUAAACCCCGAUAAACCUCACCAGCCCUUGCCAAAUCAGCCUAUAUACCGCCAUCUCCAGCAAACCCUAAAAAGGCUAAACAGUAAGCACAAUCAUAAAUACACAAAGACGUUAGGUCAAGGUGUAGCUUAUGGGUUGGAAAGAAAUGGGCUACAUUCCCUAUCCCAGGGUAUAUUUCUUCGAACGAAUGUACUAAUGAAAACGAGUACUGAAGGCGGAUUUAGUAGUAAAUUAAGAAUAGAGUGCUUAAUUGAAUUUGGCUCUGAAGCACGCACACACCGCCCGUCACCCUCCUCAAGUUCACAUGAUUCAGCAUAAAUUAUACCGAUAAAAAACUUACAAGAGGAGACAAGUCGUAACAAGGUAAGCGUACUGGAAAGUGCGCUUGGAUCAACC